GACGAACGCUGGCGGCGUGCCUAAUACAUGCAAGUAGAACGCUGAAGGAGGAGCUUGCUUCUCCGGAUGAGUUGCGAACGGGUGAGUAACGCGUAGGUAACCUGCCUGGUAGCGGGGGAUAACUAUUGGAAACGAUAGCUAAUACCGCAUAAGAGUAGAUGUCGCAUGACAUUUGCUUAAAAGGUGCAACUGCACCACUACCAGAUGGACCUGCGUUGUAUUAGCUAGUUGGUGAGGUAACGGCUCACCAAGGCAACGAUACAUAGCCGACCUGAGAGGGUGAUCGGCCACACUGGGACUGAGACACGGCCCAGACUCCUACGGGAGGCAGCAGUAGGGAAUCUUCGGCAAUGGACGGAAGUCUGACCGAGCAACGCCGCGUGAGUGAAGAAGGGUGUCGGAUCGUAAAGCUCUGUUGUAAGAGAAGAACGAGUGUGAGAGUGGAAAGUUCACACUGUGACGGUAUCUUACCAGAAAGGGACGGCUAACUACGUG
rnacentral:rRNA from 1 species